rnacentral:rRNA from 1 species
UACGUAGGGUGCAAGCGUUGUCCGGAAUUAUUGGGCGUAAAGAGCUCGUAGGCGGCUUGUCACGUCGGGUGUGAAAGCCCGGGGCUUAACCCCGGGUCUGCAUUCGAUACGGGCUGGCUAGAGUGUGGUAGGGGAGAUCGGAAUUCCUGGUGUAGCGGUGAAAUGCGCAGACAUCAGGAGGAACACCGGUGGCGAAGGCGGAUCUCUGGGCCAUUACUGACGCUGAGGAGCGAAAGCGUGGGGAGCGAACAGG